rnacentral:lncRNA from 1 species
AGGCAUCAUUCUGAAGGUGUCCUUUCUAUCAUGCGGUUGGCUGACUGCUGCCUGCUCUGUUACAGAGAGAGAGAACAUGAUCAGGAGGAGGAGCAGAGGGAGAAGCAGGCUCCCUGUUGAGCAGGGAGCCCAAAGUGGGGAUUGAUCCCAGGACCCUGGGAUCAUUACCUGAGCCAAUGAGAGAUGCAUACAUGACUGAGUCAC